rnacentral:rRNA from 1 species
GACAGAGGAGCCAAGCGUUGUCCGGAUUGACUGGGCGUAAAGCGCACGCAGGCGGGUGCGCGCGUGGGGUGUGAAAUCUGGCCGCUUAACGGCCAGGCGCCAUCCCAUACGGCGCGACUGGAGUGAUGCAGAGGUCGAUGGAAUUGCCGGUGUAGUGGUGAAAUGCGUAGAGAUCGGCAGGAACACCCAGGGGGAAACCAGUCGACUGGGCAUCUACUGACGCUGAGGUGCGAGAGCGUGGGGAGCGAACAGG